CUUAAUUUUCUUUUCUAGUGGGGAACAGGAGCCUACUGCAAUCCGAGGAUCUUUAGAACUCUUAGCCCAGGCCAAU
ensembl:misc_RNA predicted gene, 27884